AAUCUUAUAUUUUAAAAAAAAUAUUAAAUUGCAAAUUUAAAAAUGAAUUUUCUAAGAUUU
rnacentral:tRNA from 1 species